UACGGAGGGUGCAAACGUUGCUCGGAAUCAUUGGGCGUAAAGCGCACGUAGGCGGCCGAUUAAGUCGGGUGUGAAAGCCCCGGGCUCAACCCGGGAAGUGCAUACGAAACUGGUCGGCUUGAAUAUGGAAGAGGGUCGCGGAAUUCCCGGUGUAGAGGUGAAAUUCGUAGAUAUCGGGAGGAACACCAGUGGCGAAGGCGGCGACCUGGGCCAAUAUUGACGCUGAGGUGCGAAAGCGUGGGGAGCAAACAGG
rnacentral:rRNA from 1 species